rnacentral:rRNA from 1 species
CCUACGGGAGGCAGCAGUAAGGAAUAUUGGUCAAUGGACGCAAGUCUGAACCAGCCAUGCCGCGUGGAGGAUGAAGGUCCUCUGGAUUGUAAACUUCUUUUAUUUGGGACGAAAAAGGGCCUUUCCAGGUCAACUGACGGUACCAGAUGAAUAAGCACCGGCUAACUCCGUGCCAGCAGCCGCGGUAAUACGGAGGGUGCAAGCGUUAUCCGGAUUUACUGGGUUUAAAGGGUGCGCAGGCGGAUAUGUAAGUCAGUGGUGAAAUCUUUGGGCUUAACCCGAAAAUUGCCAUUGAUACUAUAUAUCUUGAAUGCUGUGGAGGUAAGCGGAAUAUGUCAUGUAGCGGUGAAAUGCUUAGAUAUGACAUAGAACACCUAUUGCGAAGGCAGCUUACUACGCAGAUAUUGACGCUCAUGCACGAAAGCGUGGGGAUCAAACAGGAUUAGAUACCCUGGUAGUCCACGCCCUAAACGAUGAUUACUCGACAUACGCGAUACACAGUGUGUGUCUGAGCGAAAGCAUUAAGAAUCCACCUGGGAAGUACGACCGCAAGGUUGAAACUCAAAUGAAUUGACGG